rnacentral:rRNA from 1 species
UACGUAGGGUGCGAGCGUUUGUCCGGAAUUAUUGGGCGUAAAGAGCUCGUAGGCGGUCUGUCGCGUCGAUCGUGAAAACUUGGGGCUUAACCCUGAGCUUGCGGUCGAUACGGGCAUGACUGGAGUUCGGCAGGGGAGACUGGAAUUCCUGGUGUAGCGGUGAAAUGCGCAGAUAUCAGGAGGAACACCGGUGGCGAAGGCGGGUCUCUGGGCCGUAACUGACGCUGAGGAGCGAAAGCGUGGGGAGCGAACAGG